UAAGCAGGAUUCAUAAACGUCCCAGACGGCAUAAGGACCAUCGAGUCCAGAAUUAGGAGUAUAAGGGUCAAAGAAAAGGCCGGGGAGGUCAAAGAGGGGCCAUGGGGGUAAAAAACAGGUUGAUAAGGCCUCAUAGCGACUACAAUAAUUUAAGAAAUAGUUCAAUGUUCAAUUCUCUUGCUUAAGAAAGCACUUUGUACCAUUCUCGUCCCAUCACCUUGAAGUUAUCCCAAUCAGAAAACAGACGAAAACCAUCGGUUCGUGAAUUUUCAUCGAGUGCAGUCGGGGCAGAAUGGACAAUUCAAAGUACAAUUUACGCUGCAAUCGUAUCAUCAGCGAACGAAUGUUAAAGAAGGACUUCGUCUACGAAAUAAAAUCGUUUUCCGGGGAGAGAUGGCUUAACUCUCAGAAAAGUCCCACUCCAGAGCUCCAUCCCGGACUGACGCGUCAGGAGAUCCGCAAAAUUGUGCAGUUUGAGUGCAACUUCUGUGGCGAACCUGUGGCAACUCUGAUGUCCCUUUCGACCCACGUAAAGUCUCAUUUGAGAAACUAUUGUAGGAUUUGUUACUGGAUCUAUGGGAGCAGUGAAACUGCGGAGGAGCACAUGCUACGGGAGCAUCGAGUUACGGAUUGUAAUUAGGAAAGUUGAGGAUCAAGUUUGGGACAGGGACAGAAAUCAUCUUUGCGUUUCCUACCGAGAGAUCCUUCAUACUUUGAAUAUUCUCUGGUGGGGAAUCAAUCAUUUAGUGGAAUUACUGAGAAAAAUGGAAUCUGAUACAGGUGCGUCAUCUCUCUAGCUGAAAAAAAAAACUGAUUUUCGAUUUUUUUUUCGUUCUCUGAACUCACCAGUGA